GAUGAACGCUGGCGGCGUGCCUAAUACAUGCAAGUCGAGCGAACAGAUGAGGAGCUUGCUCCUCUCACGUUAGCGGCGCGCGGGUGAGUAACACGUGGAUAACCUACCUAUAAGACUGGUAUAACUUCGGGACACCGGAGCUAAUACCGGAGAAUAUCUUGAACCGCAUGGUUGAAUAGUGAAAGACGGCUUUGCUGUCACUUAUAGAUGGAUCCGCGCCGCAUUAGGUAGUUGGUAAGGUAACGGCUUACCAAGGCAACGAUGCGUAGCCGACCUGAGAGGGUGAUAGGCCACACUGGAACUGGGACACGGUCCAGACUCCUACGGGAGGCAGCAGUAGGGAAUCGUACGCAGUGGGCGAAAGCCUGACGGAGCAACGCCGCGUGAGUGAUGAAGGUCUUCGGAUCGGAAUACUCUGUUAUUAGGGAAGAACAAAUGUGUACGUAACUAUGCACGUCUUGACGGUACCGAAUAAGAAAGCAACGGCUAACUACGUG
rnacentral:rRNA from 1 species